rnacentral:rRNA from 1 species
UACGGGGGGGGCAAGCGUUGUUCGGAAUUACUGGGCGUAAAGGGCUCGUAGGUGGCCAACUAAGUCAGACGUGAAAUCCCUCGGCUUAACCGGGGAACUGCGUCUGAUACUGGAUGGCUUGAGUUCGGGAGAGGGAUGCGGAAUUCCAGGUGUAGCGGUGAAAUGCGUAGAUAUCUGGAGGAACACCGGUGGCGAAGGCGGCAUCCUGGACCGACACUGACACUGAGGAGCGAAAGCUAGGGGAGCAAACGGG